CAAUGGCAACCACCAACGUUGGCAACCACUUGCAUCAGUAACUAAUCAGUAUCGACAACCACCACCUUUGAACAGCUCCAAAGUUGUCACCACUAUUGUGUGCCCAUUCCCAACUUCACCAAUUACUAUGUCAAAGGGAAGCUGCAAUCAUCUUGCUCAUUCAGAUUACACUCACACCUCUACCUCACAGCCAUCAUCCUAGAAGCCUCAAUCACAGCCACCAUCAUUGGCACCUUCAUCAUCACUUGCAACCACAUCACUACCAUCAUCAUCACAUCCCACCUCAGGCCUAGCGACUUUUAACUCUACCUUGACUAGGUGUAGUCAAGGCUAUGUUAGGGGCAUCAAGGAGUGGAAUACUGGUGCUAGGAUGGACAU